rnacentral:snRNA from 1 species
UUGCUCGCUUCAGCAGCACAUAUACUAAAAUUGGAAUGAUACAGAGAAGAUUAGCAUUGGCUCUGAAUAAGGAUGACACAUAAAGUGUUGAGUCCUAUAUACAAUAAU